AGGAGAUUUUUCUAUAUCGACAUAUCAGUUGGAAAAAUCAUAGGCAAAUUCCUAUCGGCCAUAUCAGUUGGAAAAAGAAGAGGCAAAUUCCUACCGGCGAUAAUCUGGAGAAGAACAAAAAAAGAAUGGUUGUGCUUACUCACAACUCAGAGGGGAUGCCACUUACUACUCAAAUCCAAGGAAUUGCAAAAGUUACGUUCUUAUAUGCAAGAAGAAGACUUUGAAAGAACAAAGAAGUUUGGAUCCGCAAAAGUAUGCUUAGACAGUUCCUUCGCUGAGCACAACAGAAUGAAGAGGAAUUUGUUUCAUUUCAAAUACUUCUUCUUAUUGUAAAGAUGGAAGGAGAAAAACCGAAAUCUUCCUACUCGAACAAUAAGUCCUUUUGUAGAAAAGUCUUCUUUAUAUAGUAAUUUGACCUAUUGCUCCGGAUCGCCGUUUACUAGGAAGAUAAGAAUCAAAAGGAUCGAGCUACCUACUCAUUAUUCGGAGGUGAAUCAUAGAACACUAAAAGCUGUGGUAUCUUAUGGACCUAACAUAGGUCACAUCCCUCAGGACAUAAGAUUGAAAGAUCCAAACCUUCCUCUUCAGAGCAGAAACGGACGUGGCCAAAACAUAUAA
rnacentral:rRNA from 1 species